rnacentral:misc_RNA from 1 species
AACCUUAUGGACCUGCGGGCGUAUACCUGCGGAAGGAUCAUUAUAGAGUUUUCUAAACUCCCAAACCCAUGUGAACUUACCAUUGUUGCCUCGGCAGAACCUACCCGGUACCUACCCUGGAACUAGCUACCCUGUAGCUACCCAGGAACGGGCUACCCUGUAACGUCCUGCCGGUGGACUUCUAAACUCUUGUUAUUUAUAGUAAUCUGAGCGUCUUAUUUUAAUAAGUCAAAACUUUCA